rnacentral:rRNA from 1 species
AUACGGAGGAUGCGAGCGUUAUCCGGAUUUAUUGGGUUUAAAGGGUGCGUAGGCUGUGCGUUAAGUCAGGGGUGAAAUGCCGUCGCUCAACGACGGAGCUGCCCUUGAUACUGGCGUGCUGGAGUACGGAUGCCGUUGGAGGAAUGAGUGGUGUAGCGGUGAAAUGCUUAGAUAUCACUCAGAACACCGAUUGCGAAGGCAUCUGACGAAUCCGUCACUGACGCUGAGGCACGAAAGCGUGGGGAUAGAACAGGAUUAGAUGCCCUGGUAUUCCACGCCGUAAACGAUGAUGACUAACCGUCGGCGAUAGACAGCCGGUGGCCAAGCGAAAGCGAUAAGUCAUCCACCUGGGGAGUACGACCGCAAGGUUGAAACUCAAAUGAAUUGACGGGG